rnacentral:rRNA from 1 species
GUGCAGCCGCCGCGGUAAUACGGAGGGUGCGAGCGUUAAUCGGAAUUACUGGGCGUAAAGCGCGCGUAGGCGGUUUAGUCAGUCGGAUGUGAAAGCCCCGGGCUUAACCUGGGAAUUGCAUUCGAUACUGCCGAGCUAGAGUAUGGGAGAGGGAAGUGGAAUUUCCGGUGUAGCGGUGAAAUGCGUAGAUAUCGGAAGGAACACCAGUGGCGAAGGCGACUUCCUGGACUAAUACUGACACUGAGGUGCGAAAGCGUGGGGAGCGAACAGGAUUAGAUA